rnacentral:rRNA from 1 species
CAGUCGAGGGGUAACAGGGAUUGCUUGCAAUCCGCUGACGACCGGCGCACGGGUGCGUAACGCGUAUAGAACCUACCUUUUACUGAGGGAUAGCCUUUAGAAAUGAAGAUUAAUACCUCAUAGUAUUUAGAUUUGGCAUCGAAUUUAAAUUAAAGAUUUAUCGGUAAAAGAUGGCUAUGCGUUCUAUUAGCUAGUAGGUAAGGUAACGGCUUACCUAGGCAACGAUAGAUAGGGGCCCUGAGAGGGGGAUCCCCCACACUGGUACUGAGACACGGACCAGACUCCUACGGGAGGCAGCAGUGAGGAAUAUUGGUCAAUGGAGGCAACUCUGAACCAGCCAUGCCGCGUGCAGGAAGACUGCCCUAUGGGUUGUAAACUGCUUUUAUAUAGGAAGAAACCUCUCUACGUGUAGAGAGCUGACGGUACUAUACGAAUAAGGACCGGCUAACUCCGUGCCAGCAGCCGCGGUAAUACGGAGGGUCCAAGCGUUAUCCGGAUUUAUUGGGUUUAAAGGGUCCGUAGGCGGGGUUUUAAGUCAGUGGUGAAAGCCUGCAGCUCAACUGUAGAACUGCCAUUGAAACUGGAACUCUUGAAUGUGAUUGAGGUAGGCGGAAUAUGUCAUGUAGCGGUGAAAUGCUUAGAUAUGACAUAGAACACCGAUAGCGAAGGCAGCUUACCAAGUCAUUAUUGACGCUGAUGGACGAAAGCGUGGGGAGCGAACAGGAUUAGAUA